AACGCACGAGACCUGCGGACCUGCGGAAGGAUCAUUACCGAGUUCAUGCCCUCACGGGUAGAUCUCCCACCCUUGUGUAUUCUAUGUUUGUGUUGCUUUGGCAGGCCGUGGGCCUCGCCCACCACCGGCUCUCGGGCUGGUGUGCGCCUGCCAGAGGACUCUUUAAACUCUGUUUGUUAGUGUCGUCUGAGUAUGAUAACAAUCGUUAAAACUUUCAACAACGGAUCUCUAGAUCGGAAG
rnacentral:misc_RNA from 1 species